AGAGUUUGAUCCUGGCUCAGGAUGAACGCUAGCGGCAGGCUUAAUACAUGCAAGUCGUGGGGCAGCGCAGUGUAGCAAUACAUGGGCGGCGACCGGCAAACGGGUGCGGAACACGUACGCAACCUUCCUUUAAGUGGGGGAUAGCCCAGGGAAACUUGGAUUAAUACCCCGUAAUAUUAUGAGGUGGCAUCAUCUUAUAAUUAUAGCUCCGGCGCUUAGAGAUGGGCGUGCGUCUGAUUAGGUAGUUGGCGGGGUAACGGCCCACCAAGCCUACGAUCAGUAACUGGUGUGAGAGCACGACCAGUCACACGGGCACUGAGACACGGGCCCGACUCCUACGGGAGGCAGCAGUAAGGAAUAUUGGUCAAUGGACGCAAGUCUGAACCAGCCAUGCCGCGUGAAGGAUGAAGGUCCUCUGGAUUGUAAA
rnacentral:rRNA from 1 species